rnacentral:tRNA from 1 species
GGUUCCAUAGUAAAAUUUAUAAUAUUAGAUUGCAAAUCUGAAGAUGUGCACGGCACUGGAACUU